rnacentral:rRNA from 1 species
AUGACGAAGACCGGCGCGGACGGUGGCGUACCCGCGCCAAGGGAGGUGAGGCGACACAUACCACGGGAGGUCGACGCGUGGCGCCGGCGGUGGACCGCAGGCCGCGGGCUACGGCCUAAAGGGGCGGCGCAGCGGCGAAACUCGGGUCUGUGCAACCGCGGGAACGGUCCCGAGACCGCGGCGUGGACCGCGUGCCACGCUCACUAUGGCCCGACGGGGCGACGCAGUGGCGGCGCGAGGGUUGGUAUAGCCACGGGACGAACUGGAGCGGGCGGCCUCGGGGCGGCGGGGGACCGCGGGCCGCGGCACUACGGCCAGAAUGGGCGACGCAGCGGUGACACAGGUCGGUGCAGCCGGUAG